rnacentral:rRNA from 1 species
AAAUCGUACCCCAAACCGACACAGGUGGUCAGGUAGAGAAUACCAAGGCGCUUGAGAGAACUCGGGUGAAGGAACUAGGCAAAAUGGUGCCGUAACUUCGGGAGAAGGCACGCUGAUAUGUAGGUGAAGUCCCUUGCGGAUGGAGCUGAAAUCAGUCGAAGAUACCAGCUGGCUGCAACUGUUUAUUAAAAACACAGCACUGUGCAAACACGAAAGUGGAGGUAUACGGUGUGACGCCUGCCCGGUGCCGGAAGG